GAGUUCAUGCCCUUCGGGGUAGAUCUCCCACCCUUUGUAUACCAUACCUCUGUUGCUUUGGCGGGCCGCCUAGCUACUGGCUUCGGCUGGUAAGUGCCCGCCAGAGGACCCCAAACUCUGAAUGUUAGUGUCGUCUGAGUACUAUAUAAUAGUUAAAACUUUCAACAACGGAUCUCCUGGUUCU
rnacentral:misc_RNA from 1 species